CGGAGCUGCCACAACCCAUCUUCCCACAACUCGGAACUUGGAAAAAGGAACCCAGGACACGACUUUGCUUUUCUUUUGGACCUAGUUGAUACAAGUUAACAGGAUAUGCUUCUGGCCUGUUUCUGGAUUCUAAGGGUAGAACCAGCAUAAAACUAGUCAGUCCAAGUAUUUCUAAAGAUCCACAGACACAGUUCUCCUGGAUUUGGGAAGCCUAGAGAUAUUAGCACAAUAAUUAAGGCCCAACAACUUUUAAAAGCCUUUCCACUGCACAGUGAAAGAAAACCACAAACUCCUUGUUUAAUAAGUGGGAUCACGUGCUUUUAACACGAGGAAAAGGUCAAUCUGAAGCAACUGAUAUGGAACUGCCAGAGUAGGAGUUGAAAAUCUUCCUAAACUGCUGGAGGAUACACCUCUGAUAGCUUGAGACAAAUAUCCUCUUGAUCAUUGUUUCACCAUAUUUGUCUUUGCUCAUGGAGAACCAUUUUGAUCCGUGGUUUAGCCUCCCAGGUGAUUGAACAAUACCGGUGAUCUGAGGCAGACCCUCUGUGACGGAUAACAGGAAAGAAUAUUGAUUGAACAUCUACUCAAGAACUGCAAAACAGAGAUUACCUGACCUAAAGAUGAAUCCAGGAUUCGGUGGUGCCUGUUCCAGGAACCUUUAGUGUGAAGGAUCCUCCAGAUGUGCCUUUUGCCUUCCACCAUGAUUGUGAGGCCUCCCCAGCCACACAGAACUGAGUCCAUUCUCAAUUUUCUGUGCAAAUUGGGGAAGGCUGUUGAUAAUCGGUGGAUGCUAUAGUGCCCAUGGAAAGACUCUAGUCUGAAGAUACCAGUCUCUCCCUCCCAAGAUCACCUCCCCUGACCAACCUUCUGCACUCCUGACAGAUACAAGGGAGCAAGCAAGUUGCACCCAACCUAAUAGUAAAUUGCAGGGACAUUUCCAUUCUAAGGAAGGAAUUUUUGUGUGUGUUGCAACUCAGCUUCUGCUCUGGCAUUUUGCUGUGCAUUUAUAUUGCCAAUCAUGUUGGAGAGUCCAUGUGGUGAUUUCUGAAAACGAGAUGUGAGAAAGAAGAGGAUAAUUUAAGUCUAGACCUACAGAUUGUGCUGAUAAAGUGAUGAAGAACUACAAUCUUCU
rnacentral:lncRNA from 10 species